rnacentral:tRNA from 1 species
GCUUAUCUAAUUUAAUAAAAAUACAUAACUUGUAAUUAUGUUAUACAAAUAAAACAUUGUGAUAAGAA